rnacentral:rRNA from 1 species
CAGUAGCCGCGGUAACACGUAGGGUGCGAGCGUUAAUCGGAAUUACUGGGCGUAAAGCGUGCGCAGGCGGUUUUGUAAGACAGGCGUGAAAUCCCCGGGCUCAACCUGGGAAUGGCGCUUGUGACUGCAAAGCUAGAGUGCGGCAGAGGGGGAUGGAAUUCCGCGUGUAGCAGUGAAAUGCGUAGAUAUGCGGAGGAACACCGAUGGCGAAGGCAAUCCCCUGGGCCUGCACUGACGCUCAUGCACGAAAGCGUGGGGAGCAAACAGGAUUAGAGACCCCUGUAGUCCCUGUCUCUUAUAC